rnacentral:rRNA from 1 species
GACGAACGCUGGCGGCGUGCUUAACACAUGCAAGUCGAACGGAAAGGCCCUGCUUUUGUGGGGUGCUCGAGUGGCGAACGGGUGAGUAACACGUGAGUAACCUGCCCUUGACUUUGGGAUAACUUCAGGAAACUGGGGCUAAUACCGGAUAGGAGCUCCUGCUGCAUGGUGGGGGUUGGAAAGUUUCGGCGGUUGGGGAUGGACUGGCGGGUUAUCAGCUUGUUGGUGGGGUAGUGGCUUACCAAGGCUUUGCCGGGUAGCCGGCCUGAGAGGGUGACCGGCCACAUUGGGACUGAGGGACGGCCCAGACUCGUACGGGAGGCAGCAGUGGGGAAUAUGGCACAAUGAGCGGAAGCCUGAUGCAGCGACGCCGCGUGCGGGAUGACGGCCUUCGGGUUGUAAACCGCUUGCGCCUGUGACGGAGCGUGAGUGACGGUAAUGGGUAAAGAAGCACCGGCUAACUACGUG